GAUUGACCUCGGAUCAGGUAGGGAUACCCGCUGAACUUAAGCAUAUCAAUAAGCGGAGGAAAAGAAACCAACAGGGAUUGCCUCAGUAACGGCGAGUGAAGCGGCAACAGCUCAAAUUUGAAAUCUGGCUCCAAUCGGGGUCCGAGUUGUAAUUUGUAGAGGAUGUUUCGGGUAGCCGUACCGGCCUAAGUUCCUUGGAACAGGGCGUCAUAGAGGGUGAGAACCCCGUAUGCGGCCGGCCUCUGCGCCCACAGGAAACUCCUUCGACGAGUCGAGUUGUUUGGGAAUGCAGCUCAAAAUGGGUGGUAAAUUUCAUCUAAAGCUAAAUACCUGCCAGAGACCGAUAGCGCACAAGUAGAGUGAUCGAAAGAUGAAAAGCACUUUGGAAAGAGAGUUAAAAAGUACGUGAAAUUGUUGAAAGGGAAGCGCUUGUGACCAGACCUGCCCGUAGACGCUCAGCGGUGGUUCUCCGCCGUGCACUCGUCUGCGAUCAGGCCAGCAUCGGUUCCGGCGACCGGAUAAAGGCCUCAGGAAUGUAGCUCCCCUCGGGGAGUGUUAUAGCCUGGGGCGUCAUGCGGCCAGUUGGGACCGAGGACC
rnacentral:rRNA from 1 species